rnacentral:rRNA from 1 species
UACGGGGGGGGCAAGCGUUGUUCGGAAUUACUGGGCGUAAAGGGCUCGUAGGCGGCCAACUGAGUCAGACGUGAAAUCCCCAGGCUCAACCUGGGAACUGCGUCUGAUACUGGAUGGCUUGAAUUCGGGAGAGGAAUGCGGAAUUCCAGGUGUAGCGGUGAAAUGCGUAGAUAUCUGGAGGAACACCGGUGGCGAAGGCGGCGUUCUGGACUGCAACUGACACUGAGAAACGAAAGCCAGGGGAGCAAACGGG